rnacentral:lncRNA from 1 species
GUAUAAUAUACGUUCAUCAAUCCAAAUGACCAAAUCGUUGAUUGUGGGGGUGAGAGAGCCUGAGGCUGUCAAACUUGGCUAGUUGGCUGUAUAGGGAGGCAGCGUAGGAACGGAUGACCUGGGUGAGGGAACUUCAGGAAGUGGAUUUGUUAAUUUGAAGAAAAAUAGGGUUUUAGAUUGGGGAUUGAGUCAAAACUCUUUGGAGAAAAAAGCUAGGGAUUCUGAGGACUCGAAUUCGGAAUACGAGGGUGAAAAUGAGUUGUAGAGAAAAAUGAUCCUAUUGUAAUUGAUAUUUUGUCUGAUUUGUAAAGUGAGGAACUUGAUGAAAAAACAAAGAGAGCAAACAUGGUCGUGGAUUUACCCAUGAAGAAAAGCAUUGUUGAAAAGGUGACAUGCCGAAAAAUGGUGAUUUGCAAAAUGAUGGCUUUGUUGAGAUGGUUGUUGAGAUAAAAAUAAAAAAAGGAAAAAAAUUGCAAACCUAGAAAAGUUAGUGAAUCCAAUGAUGUUAAGGUCAACAGAGGUGAAAAACUCGUAAAAAUGGCGACAAGAGAUACGUAUUUCAGUGAUGAAGGUGAGCAAAUGAGAUUGUUAUGCUUCCUCUCUCCACGAUUUUGAAAUAUAUGUAUGUGUGAUAUGCUCUCUCUUUGACAGUUUGCAGGCAGAUUUGAGUUCUCAUCUGGGGCACUUGUAGAGCUCCUUUCAACUAUCAAGGGGGAGAUGACAAUGAAUUCGGGCUUGUUACUCACAAUCUCAGUGGCAAUGAUCGCAUAAUAAUCAUUUUUCAAGUUGAGAAGUUUUCAAUCUUUUAUUAAUCUUGCACUGCUUAUUACUUAAUUUGGCUGAAAGCUCUGGUUCUAGUAGCAGCACUGAGCAAACCAUCUUGGUCAAGGAUUAUUUCCAUGGCAAAUGGAGCCCUUCUCCAAGCUUUGACUGAAUAUUGUUUUCUUGGAUAAUUUUCUAUCAACUAAAGGUUAUCUGUGGUCAAACCGUGUAAAUGAAUUUGUUUAGCCAUGUCUACUUUUUGUUACCACAUGGUGAGGUCUUGGAGGAGAGGAUUAUAGUGUUUCAACCUCCUUCUAACCUGAUUUGUAUCAGUCCACAUGUCGAUUGUGCUAUUUUUGGUGGCUUGAGGAGGGAUCAAGAUUUUAGGAGGAAGAAUUU